rnacentral:rRNA from 1 species
CCUAACAUUAGACUACCCCUGUAGUCCCAGCCGUAAACUAUGCGCGUUAGGUGUAUCGGUGACCACGAGUCACCGAGGUGCCGAAGGGAAACCGUGAAACGUGCCGCCUGGGAAGUACGGUCGCAAGGCUGAAACUUAAAGGAAUUGGCGGGGAGCACCACAACGGGUGGAGCCUGCGGUUUAAUUGGAUUCAACGCCGGACAUCUCACCGGAUAAGACAGCUGAAUGAUUGUCAAUCUGAAGGUUUUACAUGACUAGCUG